rnacentral:tRNA from 1 species
CAGAAAGUAGUUUAACUAAAAUGCCAGCUUUGGGAGUUGGUGAUAAGGGCGAAAUCCCCUUCUUUUUGA